GUGGCUGUACCAAUUUAUGUUCCUACCACAUAUUGUAAAAUUGUUAUUAUACAUAGAAGAUUAGCAUAGCCCCUGCACA
rnacentral:snRNA from 1 species